UGGGACUCCCCGUGGUUGCUUGGCCGCAAGCCCAAGGAUAUUGCCCCUCUUAUUUUUCAAGCCUCAAAAAGGAAGAGAUCGACGCUUCGCCAGGCCCUGCGAGGGAACGCUUGGAUGACCCACAUCAAGCAUGCCACUAUUGUCUCCGCCGCACACAUCCGGGAACUUUUCUCGCUUUGGGCACUUGUGCAUGACUUCCAUCUUGACGAUCACGUUAAGGACGACAUUGUUUGGAAACAUGCUGAUGAUGGGCAGUACUCGGCGUCCACAGCUUAUAAGGCGCAAUUCCUUGGCCUGACGCACUCGCCCAUUCACCACAUGGUUUGGAGAGCUUGGGGCCCCCCUAAGGUUAAAUUCUUCGCCUGGUUGACCUUGCAAGACCGGAACUGGACCGCCGACCGGUUGGUGCGGCGUGGUUGGGAUAAC
rnacentral:rRNA from 1 species